rnacentral:tRNA from 1 species
AUUUAAAUAGCUUAUAGAGCGUAAUAUUGAAGAUAUUAAGGUGAUUUAUUUAAAUCUUUAAAUA